rnacentral:piRNA from 1 species
UGGCAACACCAUUUUGACGAAAAAUCUGC